UACGGGGGGGGCAAGCGUUGUUCGGAAUUACUGGGCGUAAAGGGUUCGUAGGUGGCUUGUUAAGUCAGACGUGAAAUCCCUCAGCUUAACUGGGGAACUGCGUCUGAUACUGGCGAGCUUGAGUGCAGGAGAGGAACGCAGAAUUCCAGGUGUAGCGGUGAAAUGCGUAGAUAUCUGGAGGAAUACCGGUGGCGAAGGCGGCGUUCUGGACUGCAACUGACACUGAUGAACGAAAGCCAGGGGAGCAAACGGG
rnacentral:rRNA from 1 species